rnacentral:tRNA from 1 species
GGGUUGGCUCAGUGGUUAGAGCGUAGGUCUCGUAACCUUUCGUUGCGGGAUCGAAUUCCGCUAGAGUUUG